AAGAAGGGUGAAAUCUAGCCAAGGGUUCCCCCCAAAAUGAGUGGAGUCUGCUUCCAUAGCUUGUGUCUGAUUGGCUGGAGGAGGAGCUGGAGAUGCUGCUGCGAUCAUCACUUGCUGCAGAUGUGGUGGAACUGCCAAGUAGAAAACACCAGCCCCUGAACAGAGGAUGACAAAGAACAUGGGAUAAAGAACUGGAUCAAUAAGAAGAAAAACUGAUGAGGUUCUAAAGGCUGCAGCAGAUGUCAGGAUGAUCUUUGGUCAGUAGUGACAGCGCCACAUAGAGGAUCCACAGCGCGUCCCUCCUUCAAACACAAAGCCAUUGGGCACAGCACCAUAGCGACGCAAUGCAGACAACUUCCAGUGACCGAUGACGACGGGGGGGAGGCCUCUGGUGAGGAUGAGCACGUUGUUGCACAGAUG